GACGAACGCUGGCGGCGUGCUUAACACAUGCAAGUCGAACGGAAAGGCCUGCUUUCCCUUGUGGAUUGCGGGUACUCGAGUGGCGAACGGGGGAGUAACACGUGAGUGAUCUGCCCCCAACUUGGGUAUAAGCCUGGGAAACUGGGUCUAAUUCCCGAUAGGACUGCAGGGUGGUGCCUGUGGUGGAAAACGAUUUUCUAGUGGUUGGGGAUGAGCUCGCGGCCUAUCAGCUUGUUGGUGGGGCAAUGGCCUACCAAGGCGGCGACGGGUAGCCGGCAUGGGAGGGUGGACGGCCACAUUUGGACUGCGAGACGGCACAGACUCCUAUGGGAGGCAGCAGUGGGGAAUAUUGCCCACUGGGUGGAAGACUGAUGCAGCGACGCCGCGUCGGGGAUGCCGGCCUUCGGGUUGUGAACUCCUUUCGACCGCGAGGAAGCCUCGUGGUUGGAAGGGUGGUGACGGUAGUGGUAGAAGAAGCACCGGCUAACUACGUG
rnacentral:rRNA from 1 species